rnacentral:lncRNA from 1 species
GGUAGCUGGAGUUUUGGACAGGGGGCAGAGGGACAGACGCAUUGAGAAGGUGGCCUCAGCAAGGAGAAAGAAACUGAGCCAUGGAGAUCCAGCCUGGUAGCCAAAGUCACACAGCUCAUAAAUGGAAGAACAAAGUCAAGCAGCCCAGGUCCAGUGUCUGGGCACUGACCGCCAUGCUAACUGCUUCAGUUGCCUCACAUGGAACGGGGCCUACCAAGCUUUCUUGCUCUUUCCCAUAAGCCAUGCUGUUUACCCCCAAGCCAACACGUCAGAACUUCUGGUUUAAUCUUCUGACUUAAGUUGUUUUGUUGAAGGUACAGAAUCUUGAAGUAAAAAUACGUGGCAGACGCACUACAGCAAAGGGAUGACAAAAAUAUCACCGUCUAUUGCAGAGAAGGGUGACUUGCAAGGAGCGUGGCAGACGGGUAUGCUCCUAGGAGUGAGCUCUCUGGAUAAUAUAAUAUGUUUCCACUUUUUGAUGUACUAUCAAAUUGUCUUCCACGGUGACUGCACCAUUUUAUAAUCCUACCAGAGUUUUUUUAAAAGUUCCAGUUUAUCCAUAUCCUCAGCAACAUUUGUUAUUUCCAAGUUUUUUUGAAUGACAAAACUAUUCUAGUGUGUGAGUUUUCAAGGUGGUUUUGAUUUGCUUUUUCCUAAUUACUAAUGAUGUGAAGUAUCUUCGUGUACUCCUUUGCUCUUUGUAUGUCUUCAGAGACACAUAAAAUCCACUUUUUAAUUGGUUUAUUUAUUGUAAUUGUGUCUUUUGUUGUUGAGCUCUUUAUGUAUUCUAUUGAAAAUUUUUAAAUACAGUGGGCCCUUGACUUACCAACUCAAUUCAUUCUCAAGGGCUGGUUGUAACUCAAGUUGGUCAACUGAAGGCUCAGGCUCCUCUAUGCAGACUUCAAAGUUUCUCUCUUGUAUCCAGGC